rnacentral:rRNA from 1 species
AGCGGAGGUUUAAGCGGAAGUUUUCGGAUGGAAGCAAUAAACCUUAGCGGCGGACGGGUGAGUAACGCGUGGGUAACCUGCCUCAUACAGGGGGAUAACAGUUAGAAAUGACUGCUAAAACCGCAUAAGCGCACAUUGUCGAGUGACAGAGUGUGAAAAACUCCGGUGGUAUGAGAUGGACCCGCGUCUGAUUAGCUAGUUGGUGAGGUAACGGCCCACCAAGGCGACGAUCAGUAGCCGGCCUGAGAGGGCGACCGGCCACAUUGGGACUGAGACACGGCCCAAACUCCUACGGGAGGCAGCAGUGGGGAAUAUUGCACAAUGGGGGAAACCCUGAUGCAGCGACGCCGCGUGAGUGAAGAAGUAUUUCGGUAUGUAAAGCUCUAUCAGCAGGGAAGAAGAAAGACGGUACCUGACUAAGAAGCCCCGGCUAACUACGUGCCAGCAGCCGCGGUAAUACGUAGGGGGCAAGCGUUAUCCGGAUUUACUGGGUGUAAAGGGAGCGUAGACGGCUGUGCAAGUCUGAAGUGAAAGCCCAGGGCUCAACCCUGGGACUGCUUUGGAAACUGUGGAGCUAGAGUGCUGGAGAGGUAAGUGGAAUUCCUAGUGUAGCGGUGAAAUGCGUAGAUAUUAGGAGGAACACCAGUGGCGAAGGCGGCUUACUGGACAGUAACUGACGUUGAGGCUCGAAAGCGUGGGGAGCAAACAGGAUUAGAUACCCUGGUAGUCCACGCGGUAAACGAUGAAUACUAGGUGUUGGAGAGCAAAGCUUUUCGGUGCCGUCGCAAACGCAAUAAGUAUUCCACCUGGGGAGUACGUUCGCAAGAAUGAAACUCAAAGGAAUUGACGGGGACCCGCACAAGCGGUGGAGCAUGUGGUUUAAU